CUGCAGUGAUGAUUGAUAGGACUGACCUGGCAUUGAUGGCCUCCGGGUCAGCUCUGGCCAGGAAAUGAUCUCAAUUAAUCUUCUCUCUGAGCAG